CCCCUAGAUGUUCUGGGCCGCACGCGCGCUACACUGAACAGUUCAACAAGUCUUAACCUUGGCCGAUAGGUCUGGGUAAUCUUUGAACGCUGUUCGUGAUUGGGAUAGACCUUUGCAAUUAUGGGUCUUCAACGAGGAAUUCCUAGUAAACGCAAGUCAUCAGCUUGCAUUGAUUACAUCCCUGCCCUUUGUACACACCGCCCGUCGCACCUACCGAUUGAAUGGUCCGGUGAAGCGUUCGGACCGUGGCCUUUGGACGGUUCGCCGUCUGUUGGCUGCGGGAAGUUCGUUAAACCUUAUCAUUUAGAGGAAGGAGAAGUCGUAACA
rnacentral:rRNA from 1 species